rnacentral:rRNA from 1 species
GAUGAGCCAGAAUUGGCACCUUGUCUUUAAAUAAGGUGCAAAAUGAUUUUAACUGAAGAGUUUGAUCAUGGCUCAGAUUGAACGCUGGCGGCAGGCUUAACACAUGCAAGUCGAGCGGAGAGAGGUAGCUUGCUACUGAUCUUAGCGGCGGACGGGUGAGUAAUGCUUAGGAAUCUGCCUAUUAGUGGGGGACAACAUCUCGAAAGGGAUGCUAAUACCGCAUACGUCCUACGGGAGAAAGCAGGGGAUCUUCGGACCUUGCGCUAAUAGAUGAGCCUAAGUCGGAUUAGCUAGUUGGUGGGGUAAAGGCCUACCAAGGCGACGAUCUGUAGCGGGUCUGAGAGGAUGAUCCGCCACACUGGGACUGAGACACGGCCCAGACUCCUACGGGAGGCAGCAGUGGGGAAUAUUGGACAAUGGGGGGAACCCUGAUCCAGCCAUGCCGCGUGUGUGAAGAAGGCCUUAUGGUUGUAAAGCACUUUAAGCGAGGAGGAGGCUACUUUAGUUAAUACCUAGAGAUAGUGGACGUUACUCGCAGAAUAAGCACCGGCUAACUCUGUGCCAGCAGCCGCGGUAAUACAGAGGGUGCAAGCGUUAAUCGGAUUUACUGGGCGUAAAGCGCGCGUAGGCGGCUAAUUAAGUCAAAUGUGAAAUCCCCGAGCUUAACUUGGGAAUUGCAUUCGAUACUGGUUAGCUAGAGUGUGGGAGAGGAUGGUAGAAUUCCAGGUGUAGCGGUGAAAUGCGUAGAGAUCUGGAGGAAUACCGAUGGCGAAGGCAGCCAUCUGGCCUAACACUGACGCUGAGGUGCGAAAGCAUGGGGAGCAAACAGGAUUAGAUACCCUGGUAGUCCAUGCCGUAAACGAUGUCUACUAGCCGUUGGGGCCUUUGAGGCUUUAGUGGCGCAGCUAACGCGAUAAGUAGACCGCCUGGGGAGUACGGUCGCAAGACUAAAACUCAAAUGAAUUGACGGGGGCCCGCACAAGCGGUGGAGCAUGUGGUUUAAUUCGAUGCAACGCGAAGAACCUUACCUGGCCUUGACAUAGUAAGAACUUUCCAGAGAUGGAUUGGUGCCUUCGGGAACUUACAUACAGGUGCUGCAUGGCUGUCGUCAGCUCGUGUCGUGAGAUGUUGGGUUAAGUCCCGCAACGAGCGCAACCCUUUUCCUUAUUUGCCAGCGAGUAAUGUCGGGAACUUUAAGGAUACUGCCAGUGACAAACUGGAGGAAGGCGGGGACGACGUCAAGUCAUCAUGGCCCUUACGGCCAGGGCUACACACGUGCUACAAUGGUCGGUACAAAGGGUUGCUACACAGCGAUGUGAUGCUAAUCUCAAAAAGCCGAUCGUAGUCCGGAUUGGAGUCUGCAACUCGACUCCAUGAAGUCGGAAUCGCUAGUAAUCGCGGAUCAGAAUGCCGCGGUGAAUACGUUCCGGGCCUUGUACACACCGCCCGUCACACCAUGGGAGUUUGUUGCACCAGAAGUAGCUAGCCUAACUGCAAAGAGGGCGGUUACCACGGUGUGGCCGAUGACUGGGGUGAAGUCGUAACAAGGUAGCCGUAGGGGAACCUGCGGCUGGAUCACCUCCUUAA